rnacentral:ncRNA from 2 species
CCCCCUAAAUUUAAGCAUAUUAAUAAAGGGAGGAAAAGAAACUAACAAGGAUUCCCCGAGUAGCUGCGAGCGAAAAGGGAAGAGCUCAGUAUGCAGGGGUGGCGCACUACCCGCGUCUACCCGGUUCCGUGUACUGGAAAUUUUGUCAUCUGCCAUGCCCGGCGCAGUGUCCAAGUUCAACUAGAAUGUGGCUUUUACUCCCAUAGAGGGUGAUAGGCCCGUAGGACGGCGCUGAUGGUGGAAUUUUUUUCCAUGGAGUCGUGUUGCUUGAUAGUGCAGCACAAAGUGGGAGGUAAACUCCUUCUAAAGCUAAAUAUCACCACGAGACCGAUAGCGAACAAGUACCGUGAGGGAUAGUUGAAAAGCACUCUGAAUAGAGAGUCAAAAAGUACGUGAAACUGCCUAGGGCUCAAGCCCGUUGAACUCGAUUAUCCGCGGCGGAGAUAUUCACCUGCGGUUGGCCCUCACCCGGUCCGCCGCAGGGCACUUACCUCCUGCCUCACGAGGACGUUGCGAUCCAUUACGAAACGGUUAGCCAGCGAUGGCUACAGGCCCGGCACCUGCCCCUUGGCAUCUGGUUGCUUAUCCCACAGUAGCGGCGCUCAGUUCGGAAGGCCUGCGCCGCAACCUGGGGCUUACCGGUGCGUGGUGUGCAGCCGGGCGCGUGAUGGAUUCCCCCGUACACCGUCUCGGGAAAGGCUCGCCUCUCCCACCUCCACCAAGGUGACGGACUGUCAAUCGGCAACGAUAAAAUCGAGGUACCUUCGGGACCCGUCUUGAAACACGG